GGGGAGAGGCCAGAUCCUGGGCUGUGUCCCCCGCGCCCUCUGCUCCUGGGCCUGAGCUGUUGGAUUCGCGCUCCGGCCACGCAGCCCCCU
rnacentral:pre_miRNA from 1 species